GAAAACAUGGAGAGUGAGAAGAGGAAAGAGGAGAGAAAACCAAGGCAAAGAUGGAGAGAAGAAGGUCUUCUUAACCUUGAUCAUUGUAUCAGAGAACUUUUAAUUAUCUGAGAAUGACCAGAAGACCCAUGGGAUCUGUCUGCAUUCUCAUGCAAGCAGACACGGAGGAACUUGGCCUCGGGAGUGAACAGCAAAGACACCAGCAGAGAUGCUUUCAGAUUAAGCACUUGAGUUCCACUUGUAAAAUGUUAAGAUUACAUUUGCUUUAUUGAAGAUAAAUUUUUCCCUCUUUUUUUUAAUUCUACUUUUUGAUGACUUUUGAGGUAAGGGAUUGAAAUAAAAAUGUCUUUACCAACUUUAAGGAGAGGAUUCCUAAUCAGUAUGUGAAAGAAUAAUGUGAUUAAACAUUUGUCUAAUCAUCUUCAGCAAAGGAGAAAGUAUAAAAGAAUUUUAAUAAAGGAUUUUGGUUUUUA